rnacentral:lncRNA from 1 species
UCAUUGCCUCUUAGGCAGCUCUUUGGGAGUCAGAGGGGCCCAUGAGCGGGGGCAGCUGAAUUCUCAUCUAGCAGGGCAUCUAUCCACUCGGCUGUUGCUAAGGAUGAAGACAGGAAGGUUCCCAGGCACCCCUUGCCUUGGGACCUUUAGCCACCGCAUCUCUGCAGGGUCAGGGAGGCAUCUCUAACUGCCUAGUACCAAGGCUUCUCUGCAAGAGCAAAGGUACUAUAUAGAUAAUGCUGAGGUCAGAAGCUACCCAUGUAUAAUACAGUCACGUGCUC